GGCCCAAUGGUCAAGUGGUUAAGACAGAACUUUUUCGCAGUUUAGACGUGGGUUCAAAUCCUGCUUGGGCUA
rnacentral:tRNA from 1 species